rnacentral:tRNA from 1 species
GUUUCUAUGGUGUAAAUAAUGCACAUUAGAUUUUCAUUCUAAAGGAAUAAAUUUAAUUUAUUAGAAAUAC